rnacentral:sRNA from 1 species
GCCGUGAGGUGUUGGGUUAAGUCCCGCAACGAGCGCAACCCUCGUCCUAUGUUGCGACCGAGUUAUGUCGAGCACUCAUAGGAGACUGCCGGAGAAACUCCGGAGGAAGGAGAGGAUGACGUCAAGUCCGCAUGGCCCUUAAGCCCAGGGCUGCUAACGCGCUACAAUGCGCGGUACAACGGGCUGCGAUCCCGCAAGGGGGAGCCAAUCCCGAAAAGCCGCGCCCAGUUCGGAUCGGGGUCUGCAACUCGACCCCGUGAAGUUGGAGUCGCUAGUAAUGGCAGAUCAGCACGCUGCCGUGAAUGCGUUCUCGGGCCUUGUACACACCGCCUGUCACACCCCGAAAGUUGGCAACAGAUGAAGCCGGUGGCCCAACCGCAAGGGGGGAGCCGUCGAGUCUGGGGCCAGUGAUUGGGGUGAAGUCAUAACAAGGUAGCCGUACCGGAAGGUGCGGCUGGAUCACCUCCUUUCUAAGGAGCAAUCCCAAGGUCCAGGGCCGAUUGGUUUGUUCUCGAUGCACCUGCACGUGCGGUUCUCAAGGAGCACGUUUUUGUGUCCGGGCUCUUUGACAACCACAUAGCGAGCGUAGGCAUCUUCAUUGGCCAAGCUAAGAAGGGCACACGGUGGAUGCCUUGGCGUCAGUAGGCGAGGAAGGACGUGGCUGGCUGCGAAAAGCCUCGGGGAGCUGCCGAGCAAGCGUUGAUCCGAGGAUGU